CGGGGUGCAGCAGGCGCGAAAACUCUACAAUGCAGGCAACUGCGAUAGGGGAACAUCGAGUGAUCCUCAUAUUGGGGGUCUGUCCACCCGUCUAAAAAACGGGUGUUAGCAAGGGCCGGGCAAGACCGGUGCCAGCCGCCGCGGUAAUACCGGCGGCUCGAGUGGUGGCCGAUAUUAUUGAGUCUAAAGGGUCCGUAGCCGGCUUUGCAAGUCUCUCGGGAAAUCCAGCGGCUUAACCGUUGGUCGUCCGGGGGGUACUACAUUGCUUGGGACUGGGAGAGGUAGGAGGUACUCAGGGGGUAGGAGUGAAAUCCUGUAAUCCUCUGGGGACCACCGGUGGCGAAGGCGUCCUACCAGAACAGGUCCGACGGUGAGGGACGAAAGCUAGGGGCACGAACCGGAUUAGAUACCCGGGUAGUCCUAGCCGUAAACGAUGCUCGUUAGGUGUCACAACAGUCGUGAACUGUUGUGGUGCCGUAGGGAAGCCGUGAAGCGAGCCACUUGGGAAGUACGACCGCAAGGUUGAAACUUAAAGGAAUUGGCGGGGGAGCAC
rnacentral:rRNA from 1 species